GGGGGUGACAGGUCUCGACGGAGAGUGGACCGACCCCAGGUAGCGUGCCGAGGACGCCGGUUGGCCUCGUUAAUCGUCCGGCAAACCAUAAGUGCCAACGAUGCACUUCCGCUCGCGGCCUAGUUAACUAGACCAAGAGCAACGCGCGCUUGAGGCGCGCGGGUGUUUUAGCCACCUACCGGCCGUGGCUCGAACAUCUCAACCCAUGCCGGUUAUGACCCCGGGCCCUCGCCCGAGCCAGGGGCCGAGAAACAGGGCGUAGACUGCACCGUGGGCCUAGCCCUUGAGCCAACACGACGCAGCGACACUAACAAUCACGGGCUACGCACGUAGAAGCUUGGAUGAGGGCUCUUCGGACGCGGGUUCGAUUCCCGCCACCUCCAUCU
rnacentral:tmRNA from 1 species